rnacentral:rRNA from 1 species
GACGUAGGGCGCGAGCGUUGUCCGGAUUUAUUGGGCGUAAAGAGCUCGUAGGCGGCUUGUCGCGUCGACUGUGAAAACCCGCGGCUCAACCGCGGCCUGCAGCCGAUACGGGCAGGCUAGAGUUCGGUAGGGGAGUCUGGAAUUCCUGGUGUAGCGGUGAAAUGCGCAGAUAUCAGGAGGAACACCGGUGGCGAAGGCGGGACUCUGGGCCGAUACUGACGCUGAGGAGCGAAAGCGUGGGGAGCGAACAGG